UAUACAUAUAUAUUAUUAAUUAUUUAUAUAAUACCUAUCAUUAAUAUAAGAAAUCCUUUAUAGUAAAAUAUCCUUAAAAUAUAGAAAUAGAAAAUUUAAAUAUUAAAAAGUAAAUAUAU
rnacentral:rRNA from 1 species